GCAUCUCAUCAAAACUGUUCACAGCCUACCUAAAAGAAAUAUUCUGACAAAUAAAUGGAUGGGAACAUAAAGGAGUAAACAUCAAUGGAAAAUAUCUUAAUCAUCUGAGAUUUGCAGACAAUAUAAUAAUGUUCGCUUGAACACCACAUGAACUGUUGGAAAUGCUGUGAGUUAAAUACAAAAAGUGAGAAAAUAGGACUGCAAAUAAACAACAAAAAGACAAAGAUAAUGUUCAACACAGAAGUAAUCCUACAAUCAAUGAUGAUAGAAAGCUGGACAAUUGAAAGGAUGGAAAAACACAAAUACUUAGGACAAGUAAUCACACCACAAAGAAACCAGAUGAGAGAAAUUUAACAUAGG
rnacentral:lncRNA from 1 species